UGUAUGCGUGGAGAUGGCAUACCUCCACCCCAGAAGUAGAGCUGGGAAAACCGCACUUUCAAAGUGCUGAUGAUGCCUACAGGUCC
rnacentral:ncRNA from 2 species